rnacentral:rRNA from 1 species
UUCGGCUUAGAGUUUGAUCCUGGCUCAGAUUGAACGCUGGCGGCAUGCCUAACACAUGCAAGUCGCACGCGAAAGGGGGCAACCCUGAGUAGAGUGGCGGACGGGUGAGUAAUACAUAGGAAUCUACCCAGUAGUGGGGGACAACCCGGUGAAAACCGGGCUAAUACCGCAUACGACCCACGGGUGAAAGCGGGGGACCGAAAGGCCUCGCGCUAUUGGAUGAGCCUAUGUCCGAUUAGCUAGUUGGUAGGGUAAAGGCCUACCAAGGCAACGAUCGGUAGCUGGUUUGAGAGAACGACCAGCCACACUGGGACUGAGACACGGCCCAGACUCCUACGGGAGGCAGCAGUGGGGAAUCUUGGACAAUGGGGGCAACCCUGAUCCAGCAAUGCCGCGUGUGUGAAGAAGGCCUUCGGGUUGUAAAGCACUUUCGGUGGGGACGAACAUGGUCGGGUGA